rnacentral:rRNA from 1 species
UACAGAGAGUGCAAACGUUGUUCGGAAUUACUGGGCUUGAAGCGCACGUAGGCGGCGUUGUAAGUGUCGGGUGAAAUCCCACGGCUCACCCGUGGAACUGCCCGGCAUACUGCGAUGCUAGAGUGUGGUAGGGGAGAGCGGAACUCCUGGUGGAGCGGUGAAAUGCGUAGAUAUCAGGAGGAACACCUGUGGCGAAAGCGGCUCACUGGACCACAACUGACGCUGAGGCGCGAAAGCUAGGGGAGCAAACAGG